GAUGAACGCUGGCGGCGUGCCUAAUACAUGCAAGUCGAGCGAACGGACGAGAAGCUUGCUUCUCUGAUGUUAGCGGCGGACGGGUGAGUAACACGUGUAUAACCUACCUAUAAGACUGGGAUAACUUCGGGAAACCGGAUCUAAUACCGGAUGAGAUUUUGAACCGCAGGGUUCAAAAGUGAAAGAGGGUCUUGCUGUCACUUAUAGAUGGAUCCGCGCUGCAUUAGCUAGUUGGUAAGGUAACGGCUUACCAAGGCAACGAUGCAUAGCCGACCUGAGAGGGUGAUCGGCCACACUGGAACUGAGACACGGUCCAGACUCCUACGGGAGGCAGCAGUAGGGAAUAUUCCGCAAUGGGCGAAAGCCUGACGGAGCAACGCCGCGUGAGUGAUGAAGGUCUUCGGAUCGUAAAACUCUGUUAUUAGGGAAGAACAUAUGUGUAAGUAACUGUGCACAUCUUGACGGUACCUAAUCAGAAAGCAACGGCUAACUACGUG
rnacentral:rRNA from 1 species